GGUGAGAAGGGUGGGCCGGGGCGGUGCUGCCGGACUCUGGGCUGGGCUGGCGAGGACCUGGCCUUCCAGGGUGAACGGGGAGCGAACAAAGAAAAAGUCGGUGAAAUGUUUUCCAGGUUUGGCCGGAACAACAAUGGUCUGGAGAACACGCCUGCAAAGCUCCGGGCCCGGAUCCGGUCUGAGACGCGGCAGAGGAGGAACCCCGGGGCUUGGGGUUCCUCCUGCCCCGGCCGCAGCUCCCGGAGCCCAGGCAGCCGGGGAGGGCGCGGGCGGUCCCUGGGGCCGCGGGCCGCCAGCUUCACCAGCCCCUGCACAGGGCAGCCCCCGAGGCGGGUGCAGGCGGACAGCGCCGAGAGGAUGUGGCCACCGGAGCCCGAGCGAUGGAGGGCCACCGGCCAGAGGAGGCGGCGGGCAGGGUGCAGGGGCGCGGCGAGGGGUCACAGCAGUGACAGGUGAUGGGCCCGAGAGGAGCAGACUGACAGAGCACAGAGCGCAGCCAUUUCAUUCGGUCUGAGCGCACACUGGGGGUAAAGGACGGGGCCGGUCUGUCCAGCCAGGAGUUCUGUCUGUCCAGCCUCCCGCCGGGGACAGUCGGGGAGAGGCCCUGGCGGAGCGAGGGGCAGAGUGUGCAGCUGCCUUUGGUGAACGAUUUCCGGAGUGUGGUCCUGAGGCUUGGGCGGGACGUGGGAGGGCUCGAGGGAGAGGAGGGCCUCAGGGACGCUCCUACCCAGGCCUCGGGGGCUGGGCGCAGGGCAGGAGGGGUGCUGAGAGCGGCCUGGCCAGGUUUCCAGCGUGGCCCCCCUGGGUCUCUGCACCACCGCCUUCAGCUUCCAACCCACCCCUCCUGCCCUGCCUGCGACUGGGUCCUCCCCUGUCCCCGGGGGAGCCAACUGGGUGUGGCUUUAUUCUUAGGUGACAGCUCUAGGCCUCAUGAGGGUUGCCAGGAAGCCCAGGACCCCCUGGGGCUCCCUCCUCCCCAGCACCCCAACGCUGAGAUUGCCCCACGAGGGGAAUUGGAGGACCAGCCACCAUUGCCGGCACUGCCACCCAGGGCCACUGCAGGGGCCACACCUGGCCGCAGGGGUGACGGGGGGCGGUGAGUAGAUCUCUGCGGGUACCCCACACCCUAGGGGGGUCCCACCUCCCACAACUGGGCCCAGUGCCCAGGCUCAGCCCCAGACUCCUGUGGUCCCUGGAGCCCUGGUGACUGUGGGCUCUGCAGGCCGCCCCCUCCUGAGGGACCCACAGGGCCCGGGUCAGGGUCAAGCAGGACUCCAGGGCCCACUGUCUAUUCCUGUGAGGCUGAGCUUUCCCUACGUGAGUUCCCAGUGUGACUCAGGGCAGGCGCAGGCCCACCCUCUGAGCCGAAGGGUGUUUCCAGGGCGGCCUGGGCUCUGGCCAAGCAGCUGCUAUAGCUCCUUCCUCGGGAUGAGGCGGAAUGAAAGCAGCAUGGGACCAGGCACCUGGAAGAGCAGCUUGGUCCCCCAAGAGUCACCCACUCCAGGUCACUUACACCUUCUGCGUGUGCAUGUGGCGUGCAGCUAACAAGACUGGUGCAACAGCGUAAGGAUGAAGCCAACACAUAGAGGCGGGCAGAACAGGCAAUCCCAGAGGGGUGGAGUCAGAGCCCUGGUCAAGCCUCUCCUGAAGCUGGACCCUAAAUUUAGUAUUCUGAUCCAUUUAUCCUUCCAACCAGUUUCAGCUGAGUUUCCGACUCACAGCCAGAAAUACCUUCACUGAUGUGGCACGUUUCCAGAUUGUUGGUGACAGCAGAAGCAGUAACAUGGCCGCAGGGCAAGGCAGUGAAUGUCCACACCUGCAUAUUGCAGCCCAAGGCUGUGCUGCUGAGUCUGCUCCUCCGCUCUGGGCUCCCGCUUCGCUGAGCCGCCGGUGGUCCACGAUUCGGCUGGCGUCUGUGGCAGGCAGCCCGCGGAUUAAAUGGCUGUGACGGGCGCCAUCAGCCCUACAGCUGAAGUCUUUUUUUAAAAAGUUUUUAUUGUGCUGGCUGCUGUUUUGCUGGCCACCUGACGGAGAGCCCCCCAGGAAAGGAACCAUCGUCUCCAGCCAGCAGCGGGCAGGGACCAGAGGCCUAGGACAGCCAUGUGGGUGAGUGUGGAAGGGGGUCCCCGGCAGCCAAGCCUUGAGAUGCCCUUAGCCCUGGCCGGCACCUUGACCCAGAUUCCUGACCCAUAGAAACUGUGCGAUAAUCAAUGUUUGCUGUUUUAAACUGCUAAGUAUGGGGGUAAUUUGUUACGCAGCAGUAGACAGCUAACGUACUCUGCUAGGACACCAUGUCCUAGACUCCCGAGGGGCGGGGCUCCCUGGGGGCCAUCCCCACCUUACUGCCUGCUCUGCCGGCACACCCACCGCACCUCUGCCAUUCGGGGUCCUUCCUCCCACAGACACGAGGGAACUGGCUCUAGCGGGAUAUCCUCCCUCCACCUGGGCCUACAGAGGACCCAGAACUUCUCCUUGAUGCCCACGGCCUCUCACAGUGCACUCCUUAUUGUCCACUGGGCCCUCCCAGGGCAACUUGCCAGCUGCAGCUUCUCUGAUCUUGCAAAAUAACCCCACCCUAGCCCUCUCGGCUCUGCGUCUUCUCGCCUCUUCCUCAAUUCUUUGCCAAGGCAGCUCCGUCUUAUUUACUGCCAGCCACUGCCAGCCCCAAGCUUCAAGGAGCCGCUCCGCAGCACACUAGGCCCGACAGCAGGCGUCCUCACCAGGGUCUGGAAAGUGCCCCGGAUCAAUAAACCCCCCCCUCCAGCCUAAUCCCCCCUCCCCUCCAGCAUCCUCCAUAUCCACUUCCACGCGUGCUCCGGGGUCCUGCUGGUACGCACCUGCCCAGCGGCAGCUCCCUGGAGAAUAAUUCGUCUCCGCCCAUGGCGGGCAUGGGACUUCCACACCCAGGUCCGGGAGCCUCGCCCUCGUUCUGGUCAGAAGCUGGAGGGGAGGCGGGCAGAUCUGAGAGGGACGCCUGCCUCAGGAGAGGCCUCUGCGUGGCCUGGGGAACGGGAGGUUGGUCCUCCAGCGAGGGCUCGUGGCCUCGUCUGCCUGCCUGGAGGGUUCCUGGGUCUCUGGCGCUUCCCGCAGAUGUCCCCUCUGGGUCGGGGGGUCCGCGCUUUGCUAUCAGGGCCCUGACUCUAGCACAGAAGAUGCACUAAGGCAUGAGCGUCUCCUCCUUUGCGGCUCCAGCACCCUGUGAUCUAAUCUCGGGCCUGAUUUUUGGCACAAUCUGCUCUCUGCUUUAGGAAAUGACACUCUAAACGCUGCUGCGGUGACUGUGUGCGUCCUGCGGCUGCCACAGCAAGGUGCCACAGACGGGGCAGCCUAAACAGCAGAUGCUUAUUCUCACAGCUCUGGAGUCUGGUGCUGACACUCGGGGGCAGCGGCGUUGGUUCCCUCCGAGGCCUCUCUUGGCUUGCAGAUGCCGUCUUCUCCCCAGGUCCUCGAAAGGUCAUCCUGCUGUGCAUGUCUGCGUCCUGAUCACCCUUCUCCUAAGGACACGGGUCAGAUUGGAUCAGGGCCCACCCUAAUGAACUCAUCUUACCUUAAUUAACUCUAAAGACGCCCUCUCCAAAUACAGUCACAUCCAGAGGUACUGGGGGUUAGGACUACAACAUACAAAUUUGCUGCGGACACAAUUCAGUUCGUAGGAGGGGGCUUUCUGGAUCUCACUGCAGACCCUGAUUGUCCUGAGCUUUCUUCAAGGCUUCAGGCCAGCUGAUGCCCGAGCCUGAAAAUUAGUCUCGCCACCGUAUCUCUCAAAUGCUGGAGACAAGGCUUGGCUGAUGUGUCCCUGCCCACCUGUGUCCCAGGCCAGUCCAUGCCAGGUGAACAGCUGUCACCACUCCAUCACCAGCAACCCAAUAAAAGCGGUGAAUGAGCCCCA